rnacentral:rRNA from 1 species
UAAUACGUAGGGGGCAAGCGUUGUCCGGAUUUACUGGGCGUAAAGCGCGCGUAGGCGGGAGGAGAAGUCCGGUGUGAAAGCCCACGGCUCAACCGUGGAAGGUCGCUGGAAACUCUUCUUCUUGAGGGCGACAGAGGGAAGUGGAAUUGCUGGUGUAGCGGUGAAAUGCGUAGAUAUCAGCAGGAACACCCAUGGCGAAGGCAGCUUCCUGGGUCGGCCCUGACGCUGAGGCGCGAAAGCGUGGGGAGCGAACGGGAUUAGAUACCCCGGUAGUCCACGCCGUAAACGAUGGUCACUAGGUGUAUGGGGUAUCGACCCCUCAUGUGCCGCAGCUAACGCAAUAAGUGACCCGCCUGGGGAGUACGGCCGCAAGGUUG